AAAUUGUGUGAAAAGGGAGAAAGUAGUGUUCUCCUUGGCAGUGAUGGAAGAGGCCCUCGGACUUAGACAUACAUUUAUGGCUACGGCAUUGUCAUAUAGCCCAUGAACUCUAGCCAUUGCUUCUU
ensembl:snRNA